rnacentral:rRNA from 1 species
GACGAACGCUGGCGGCGUGCUUAACACAUGCAAGUCUAACGGAAAGGCCCUGCUUUUGUGGGGUGCUCGAGUGGCGAACGGGUGAGUAACACGUGAGUAACCUGCCCUUGACUUUGGGAUAACUUCAGGAAACUGGGGCUAAUACCGGAUAGGAGCUCCUGCUGCAUGGUGGGGGUUGGAAAGUUUCGGCGGUUGGGGAUGGACUCGCGGCUUAUCAGCUUGUUGGUGGGGUAGUGGCUUACCAAGGCUUUGACGGGUAGCCGGCCUGAGAGGGUGACCGGCCACAUUGGGACUGAGAUACGGCCCAGACUCCUACGGGAGGCAGCAGUGGGGAAUAUUGCACAAUGGGCGGAAGCCUGAUGCAGCAACGCCGCGUGCGGGAUGACGGCCUUCGGGUUGUAAACCGCUUUCGCCUGUGACGAAGCGUGAGUGACGGUAAUGGGUAAAGAAGCACCGGCUAACUACGUGCCAGCAGCCGCGGUGAUACGUAGGGUGCGAGCGUUGUCCGGAUUUAUUGGGCGUAAAGGGCUCGUAGGUGGUUGAUCGCGUCGGAAGUGUAAUCUUGGGGCUUAACCCUGAGCGUGCUUUCGAUACGGGUUGACUUGAGGAAGGUAGGGGAGAAUGGAAUUCCUGGUGGAGCGGUGGAAUGCGCAGAUAUCAGGAGGAACACCAGUGGCGAAGGCGGUUCUCUGGGCCUUUCCUGACGCUGAGGAGCGAAAGCGUGGGGAGCGAACAGGCUUAGAUACCCUGGUAGUCCACGCUGUAAACGGUGGGUACUAGGUGUGGGGUCCAUUCCACGGGUUCCGUGCCGUAGCUAACGCUUUAAGUACCCCGCCUGGGGAGUACGGCCGCAAGGCUAAAACUCAAAGGAAUUGACGGGGCCCCGCACAAGCGGCGGAGCAUGCGGAUUAAUUCGAUGCAACGCGUAGAACCUUACCUGGGUUUGACAUGGAUCGGGAGUGCUCAGAGAUGGGUGUGCCUCUUUUGGGGUCGGUUCACAGGUGGUGCAUGGCUGUCGUCAGCUCGUGUCGUGAGAUGUUGGGUUAAGUCCCGCAACGAGCGCAACCCUUGUUCACUGUUGCCAGCACGUUAUGGUGGGGACUCAGUGGAGACCGCCGGGGUCAACUCGGAGGAAGGUGGGGAUGACGUCAAGUCAUCAUGCCCCUUAUGUCCAGGGCUUCACGCAUGCUACAAUGGCUGGUACAGAGAGUGGCGAGCCUGUGAGGGUGAGCGAAUCUCGGAAAGUCGGUCUCAGUUCGGAUUGGGGUCUGCAACUCGACCUCAUGAAGUCGGAGUCGCUAGUAAUCGCAGAUCAGCAACGCUGCGGUGAAUACGUUCCCGGGGCC